ACGAACGCUGGCGGCGUGCCUAAUACAUGCAAGUAGAACGCACAGUUUAUACCGUAGCUUGCUACACCAUAGACUGUGAGUUGCGAAUGGGUGAGUAACGCGUAGGUAACCUGCCUGGUAGCGGGGGAUAACUAUUGGAAACGAUAGCUAAUACCGCAUAAUAUUAAUUAUUGCAUGAUAAUUAAUUGAAAGGUGCAAUUGCACCACUACCAGAUGGACCUGCGUUGUAUUAGCUAGUAGGUGAGGUAACGGCUCACCUAGGCGACGAUACAUAGCCGACCUGAGAGGGUGAUCGGCCACACUGGGACUGAGACACGGCCCAGACUCCUACGGGAGGCAGCAGUAGGGAAUCUUCGGCAAUGGACGAAAGUCUGACCGAGCAACGCCGCGUGAGUGAAGAAGGUUUUCGGAUCGUAAAGCUCUGUUGUAAGAGAAGAACGGGUGUGAGAGUGGAAAGUUCACACUGUGACGGUAUCUUACCAGAAAGGGACGGCUAACUACGUG
rnacentral:rRNA from 1 species